UGAUCCCAAGAGGAGUGGUGUGAGUACUAGAUCUGUACCAGUACGGAGAGAUAGGCCAACAAGUGAUAUAUGUUUCAGUAAGAUUGGAUUUUUUGCAUUUAUAGCAAUGGUUAUCAACUGUACUGCAGGAAUAGAAUGUAAGUUGUACAAAAUUGAGAUUGUGUUGGCAGCUGCAGAGAGGUAUUUUGGGUGUGUGAGACUUGACAUCAGAAGAGUUACAGGGUGGGUUAAGUGGUGGUGUCCCAUCCUUUCAGGUUGUUGGCAUGAGGUAGGACGAAAUGUGUUGUUAUGAGUUAAAAACAUUUAGACUACGUUACCCAGCAGGCUAUGCGGAUGGUUAAGGAAUGCUUUGCAUGGCUAAACAUGAAGUUUUCUAGCUGAAGUAUAUGUUCAUUAAAAGUAGUUAAACCUACGCCCCAGUUUGUCAUUAUAUAAGGAACAAACAUAACAUGGUGUCAGAUUGGUAGUCGCUAUGACAAAGAGAAAAGAAAGGAGUAACUUCCGCGACGAAAAUGGAACGUUCUACCACAAGUUAAGUGACGUGAGUAGUCGAAGAUGCUAGCUUGCAAGAGCGAGGACAACGAGCCGCAGCAGCGAGAGUGACAGCAGCGAGAGGGAGGCUGCAUUGGAAUCUGUUGACGAGCAACAUACUGAAGAUGGCUGAAGGAGCAAGAGGUUAGAACUUCAAGCUGGCUCUCUAAGGCGCUGACAUAAAGCGCUCGGCGGACAUGGUGGCCCUUCCAUUUUCAAUGAAGCCUAGGCAGUGGUGAUAUUCAUUCCCAGGAAAAUGACCGUGUUCGAGAGCAUCAAAGUGACUGCCGACUGACGGAUUAACAAAUUACCUUGCAUCAUAAAUAACUCAUUAUUUUUUUGUAAGUCGGUCACAAUUUACCCAUGAUACCGUGCUGUUUUGAUCCUCUCCAACACAGCCCUUUGGCUUCUGCUCUACAUUGUUGACCAAUCACAGUAGAUAACAUGGCAUGCGUGGUGAAUCGUCAGGCUGUGUAGCUGAAUCUCAUUCAUAUUAUCCUAUCAUUUGUUGGCUAAUUAUUGGGCCUAAUAGGCUACUGCAGUAAAUUGAUCAUCACCAGUCAAUGUUAUCACACCAUCGUCCGCUUUAUGUCUUUCAAACUCCCCACCAAAUAUUUUCUAAUUUCCUUAAUUUUGUGGCUAGUCAAAUACUUUGUGGCACACACUACUGGUCAAUACUGGCUGGCAGGAGCUUUUCGGCACACAUUAAAUCAUGAUCAUUAUAGUUGUCUGACAUCAAACGUUUCCCUGUUAAUCACAAAGCUUAACAGAAGAUAUUUUUAAGGCAUUUUAUCUCUAUUUAAAUACAUUCUCACUUAAACUACAAAUCUGUCUUCAGCCAAAAUAACUGGUGGGGCGUUUGAAAGGAAAUAAAGCGGGUGAUGAAGACAGAUUUACUGCAGUAGCCUAUUAGGCCCAACAAAUGAUGGGUUAAUAUGAAUGAGCUUCUUCAGCUACACACAACCUCUCCUUUUCAGAUGAGCCUGUGUGCAAUUCAUUCAGGUCAGAUUUCUUAACAUGAUUGGAAGGAGCAGAUUCUAAGUUACAGGGACCUACAAACAAAAAAAUGUCACUUUUGUUAUGACAGCGGUUCUGUUCCCGUGACACUUAAGUUGAUUGUUAUAUUCCAUUAUUUUCUUACUUUAAAAUAUGUGUGUUGACUGAUCAGUGCAGCGGCAUGUGUGUCUUGUCUGUUUAAUGAACAAAAUAAUGAACUAUUGAUUUUAAUUUGCAUGGCACAGCCAUGCAGCCAAUAAGCUGCACAGACCAGUAACAUCAUUAAACUCAAAAUAUGCUAUUCUAUUUUUCUUAGUCUUAUGUUUCUUAGAACCUACCUGAAAUAAUUCAUAAUGGAUUGCUUUGUGAUGGUGUAUAUUCAAUGGAUUUAUUAAAAUAGACUCCCACCCACAUCAGUAUAUACUCCCAUUGAUAACCAAUAGGUGCCGGCAUGCGUACAGGAUGCAUAAAAGUCUUAUGCUGGCAAGAAUGUGGUAAAAAUGGAACUGUUUGAAAGGUGCUCAUAUUAACAUUGGCCCCAAAAAAUGUUUUGCA